rnacentral:rRNA from 1 species
UUUAUUGGAGAGUUUGAUCCUGGCUCAGGACGAACGCUGGCGGCGUGCCUAAUACAUGCAAGUCGAGCGGAGUCAUCAUGAGAGCUUGCUCUCAAGAUGACUUAGCGGCGGACGGGUGAGUAACACGUAGGCAACCUGCCCCUUGGACUGGGAUAACUACCGGAAACGGUAGCUAAUACCGGAUAAGACCUUCUGGUGCAUACCGGAAGGCGGAAAGGCGGAGCAAUCUGCUACCAGGGGAUGGGCCUGCGGCGCAUUAGCUAGUUGGUGGGGUAACGGCUCACCAAGGCGACGAUGCGUAGCCGACCUGAGAGGGUGAACGGCCACACUGGGACUGAGACACGGCCCAGAC